AAGUCGUAACAAGGUUUCCGUAGGUGAACCUGCGGAAGGAUCAUUACAAUACUUUUACAAGUAUCAACCCAAAUUGUUGCACUGAAUGAGCGUCCGAUAGGAAAUACAAAAGUGGUUUGAGAGAAUUGGCGGCUUUGUGAAGUGCAUCGGCAUUUCGGUCAGUUCUCGAUUUCUCACAAGCAAUUGUGAGAAAGCCCUUUUUUUCCUAGUUCGCGUAUUUUCUCAAUUUUUUUUUAACCCCUUUCACCAAAUUACAAUUUAAACAACGAUUGAACUGAAUUCGAAGGAUGCUGAAAAGCGUCUAAUUCGAUUCUAUCUUUACGAAACGUAAGAACAACUCUUAACAACGGAUAUCUUGGCUCUC
rnacentral:misc_RNA from 1 species